rnacentral:lncRNA from 1 species
UGUUGAACCAGAACUGAUUGAUUUGCUAAAUUGUUGGUAAAAACAGGAAUAACUAACGAUACUUGAUGAUGAUGCUGGUGAGGUCUGGCAUUCUUCUUCACAUGUAGCCUCUUCUGCCUCCCUACAAACACUGCAUUUGUUUCCCCUUCCUUCUUAUUAGAGAAACUAGCAUAUUUCUUGCCUGAAGACGCUUCAUCUUUAGAUAACCGGCCUUCUUU